rnacentral:rRNA from 1 species
AACGAACGCUGGCGGCAUGCCUAACACAUGCAAGUCGAACGAGACCUUCGGGUCUAGUGGCGCACGGGUGCGUAACGCGUGGGAACCUGCCCUUAGGUUCGGAAUAACUCCCCGAAAGGGGUGCUAAUACCGGAUAAUGUCUUCGGACCAAAGAUUUAUCGCCUUUGGAUGGGCCCGCGUUGGAUUAGCUAGUUGGUAGGGUAAAAGCCUACCAAGGCGACGAUCCAUAGCUGGUAUGAGAGGAUGAUCAGCCACACUGGGACUGAGACACGGCCCAGACUCCUACGGGAGGCAGCAGUGGAGAAUAUUGGACCAUGGGCGAAAGCCUGAUCCAGCAAUGCCGCGUGAGUGAUGAAGGCCUUAGGGUUGUAAAGCUCUUUUACCCGGGAUGAUAAUGACAGUACCGGGAGAAUAAGCUCCGGCUAACUCCGUG